UAUUAAAAAUUCCAUCCAAUUCUACUGUAAAAAAACUAACAUAGCUAAUAGAAUAAUCAAAAAGUGAUGGAUGAGGUGUCACAUGUACCUCAUGCUAAUAUACAUGGGCAAGUUUUUUACAAUAGAAAUGGAUAAGUUUUUUUAACA
rfam:Gossypium hirsutum cultivar TM-1 unplaced genomic scaffold scaffold568.1, whole genome shotgun sequence